rnacentral:rRNA from 1 species
CUUCGGUCUCUGAGUAGAGCGGCGCACGGGUGAGUAACGCGUGGAUGAUCUACCCUUGAGUUCGGGAUAACGGUGCGAAAGCGCCGCUAAUACCGUAUAACAAUCCAUUUCAUCGUGGGUUCAAAGCAGGCCUCUUCAUGAAAGCUUGCGCUUGGGGAUGAGUCCGCGUCCCAUUAGCUUGUUGGCGGGGUAACGGCCCACCAAGGCUACGAUGGGUAGCUGGUCUGAGAGGAUGAUCAGCCACACUGGAACUGAAACACGGUCCAGACUCCUACGGGAGGCAGCAGUGGGGAAUAUUGCGCAAUGGGGGAAACCCUGACGCAGCGACGUCGUGUGAGGGAAGAAGGCCUUCGGGUCGUAAACCUCUGUCAGAAGGGAAGAACAUCCGGGAGUCGAACAGCCUCCCGGCCUGACGGUACCUUCAGAGGAAGCGCCGGCUAACUCCGUGCCAGCAGCCGCGGUAAUACGGAGGGCGCAAGCGUUAAUCGGAAUCACUGGGCGUAAAGCGUGCGUAGGCUGUUUGAUAAGUCAGACGUGAAAUCCCUCGGCUCAACCGGGGAACUGCGUUUGAUACUGUUGAAC